rnacentral:tRNA from 1 species
GGGCGGUUAGCUCAGCGGUAGAGCACUUCCUUGACAUGGAAGGGGCCACAAGUUCGAUCCUUGUACCGCCCACCA